GCAAACCUCAGAAAGCCAAUCUCAGUUCGGAUUGUAGGCUGCAACUCGCCUACAUGAAGUUGGAAUCGCUAGUAAUCGCGAAUCAGAAUGCCGCGGUGAAUACGUUCCCGGGUCUUGUACACACCGCCCGUCACACCAUGGGAGUUGGAAAUGCCCGAAGUCAGUGACCCAACCGAAAGGAGGGAGCUGCCGAAGGCAGGUCCGGUAACUGGGGUGAAGUCGUAACAAGGUACC
rnacentral:rRNA from 1 species